GACACAGGGAGGUAGUGACAAGAAAUAACAAUACAGGGCUUUAAGCUUUGUAAUUGGAAUGAUGGGAAUCUAAACCCCUUCCAGAGUAUCAAUUGGAGGGCAAGUCUGGUGCCAGCAGCCGCGGUAAUUCCAGCUCCAAUAGCGUAUAUUAAACUUGUUGCAGUUAAAAAGCUCGUAGUUGAACUUCUGCCGCCAGGAUUUUGUUCCCUUUGGGGUUUCGAUUUUCUGGUGGUUUACAUCCGGUUAAUUUGGGCUUUGGCCCUUUUUGUCUGGUUUUUACUUUGAGAAAAUUAGAGUGUUUCAAGCAGGCUUUUGCCUUGAAUACUUCAGCAUGGAAUAAUAAUGUAGGACUUUGGUUCUAUUUUGUUGGUUUCAGAGCCAAAGUAAUGGUUAAUAGGAACAGUUGGGGGCAUUCGUAUUUGACUGUCAGAGGUGAAAUUCUUAG
rnacentral:rRNA from 1 species